GAUGAACGCUGGCGGCGUGCUUAACACAUGCAAGUCGAACGGAAAGGCCACAGCUUGCUGUGGUACUCGAGUGGCGAACGGGUGAGUAACACGUGGGUGAUCUGCCCUGUACUUCGGGAUAAGCUUGGGAAACUGGGUCUAAUACCGGAUAGGAAUCACAUGUGGGUGUGUGGUUGGAAAGCUUUUGCGGUAUGGGAUGAGCUCGCGGCCUAUCAGCUUGUUGGUGGGGUAAUGGCCUACCAAGGCGUCGACGGGUAGCCGGCCGGAGAGGGGGUACGGCCACCCGGGAAGGGAGACACGGACCAGAGUCCUACGGGAGGCCGCAGUGGGGAAGGGGGGGCAAGGGGGGCAAGCCUGACCCAGGGAUACCGCGUGGGUGACGAAGGCCCGCGGGGGGUAAAGCCCGCUUGUGGGGGAAGAACAGCUGCGGACGGAAACCAGGCGAUCGUGACGGUACCUAAAAAAAAAGCACCGGCUAACUACGUG
rnacentral:rRNA from 1 species